GGUGAGGGGUCACCUGGGGCAGGUGAGGGACAGGUGAGGGGGGCAGGGUUACCUGGGACAGGUGAGGGGAUGGGGUUACCUGGGACAGGUGAGGGGUUGGGGUGGGGUUGGGGUUACCUGGGGCAGGUGAGGGACUGGUGAGGGGCAGGGUUAACUAAGGGUUACCUGGGGACAGGUGAGGGGCAGGGCCAGGUGUGUCCCAGGUGUGUCCCAGCAUGGCCUCAGGUGUGCCCAGGUGCGCC